GGAGACCAGCUGACUCUGGAUCCGAGGAGUCAAGACAGGCUCUAGGAGUCCAAAUAAAUAUAUAAAGAAGGUACCCCCAAGAGCUUUGGUGAGCGGGAAGCCUAUUCAACUUAUAAAUACAGAAGAAGUAAAAUGAAUUCACCUGCACACCAACUAAGGGAGAAAACAUGGAGCAGAGGCUGUGAAUGAGGCAUCCUGGACAAGCAAGCCUUCCUGUUGCAAACGGCAGAACUCUGGAAAGUCUUGAGAGAGACCGAGCGGGAACCUUCAGCGGAGCAGUCCUCCAAGCCCCAUGGAAAGGAACAGGGUCUGGCUCCUUGCAACUUGUCCAGGAAAAUAACACUCAGUGGAUUCUGGCUCUCCCGAUUUGCCAAGCCUGGAGCAGAUAUCCAGGUUGCGAUUAGACCACCGUGUCCGCUGCGCAGAGACCGGGCCUCCCCGAGAGGGACCCAAAAGUCCAG